CUUCCAAUUCAAGAAAAACUUGAAGAGAAAAUAUAGUAGUAUUCGGCCAAGGUUGGCUAAAAUGGAGUCCAUGGAAUUGAUCAAGAAAAAAUAUUUUCUCCUAGUACUCUAAGUAAUUGGAAGGUCCUCUACAACAUGGAAGAGUUGUUGGAGCAAGAAAAUCCUUCACUUGGACAAAUCCAUAACCUUGACUAAGAGGAAACAUGAAAGGAAAAGAUUUUGGUGAAUUUGGAGCUUGAGUUUGGAGAAGAAAAAGGAGCGGAAAAGGUACACCAGCUGAGCCACAGUUAUCAUAGAAGAUGUUCCAGCGGAGUUGGCGGGCUCCACUUGUUCUGGAGUGCUGCCGAGUCAGAGUAUAUGAGCUAUGGUGUUUGUUCAAUGUUAGAGACUUUGCAGACAGAGUCAUGAGUAUAGAGUGUCAGCUUGGUAGACGGCUUCACCCGUCACAAUGUUAUUACGUUUCAUGUCGCGGGUCCCAUAUGAUGAUAGACAUUAUUUAUGAAAAAAAAAUAUAUUGGAGGGCUUACCAUGUAUUUAUUUCUUAAUUGAUACAAGAGUUUAUCUAUGUAAUAAGAGUCAGCGGGUUCGCUCGGCUCCAGAUAUGGGGUCGGGUGCCCAUCACACCCUAGUAAAGUCGGGGUGUGACAAUUUUCUAAGGCUACUGAGACUAUACUACACUA